rnacentral:rRNA from 1 species
UACGUAGGGGGCGAGCGUUGUCCGGAGUUACUGGGCGUAAAGGGCAUGCAGGCGGUCCGACACGUUUUGUGUGACAGCGGGUGGCUUAACUACCCGAGGAUACGAAAGACGGUAGGACUUGAGGACUCGAGAGGGACACGGAAUUCCGGGUGGAGUGGUGAAAUGCGUAGAGAUCCGGAGGAACACUGAAGGCGAAGGCAGUGUCCUGGCGAGUGACUGACGCUGAGGUGCGAAAGCCAGGGGAGCGAACGGG